ensembl:lncRNA
AUCAAACCUUUUAAAAAAAAGGCAUGAGGAGUUGGAUUAUAUUUUGUACUGAACACACGUUAUAAACAAAGCCUUAUAAAACACCUCCGGUAGUAAUGUGGCUUUACUAAUACUGCCUUAUAACACUUCUUGUCAUGUCAUAGCUAGAAACGUACAGGAAACUUAGGAAGAGCCUUUUUUUAAAUACUUUAAAAAAAUAUUGUAUCAGUGAGGAGGCAGAAUAACAAUAUAUAGAAACAGACAGAACAAGGCAAAAAAGAGGAGAAACAAUGACUGAGAUAGUUGAGAGAAAAAAAAAAUCUUUAAUGACAAAAGGAGAUUUUGUGAUUGAAAGAACACACACUUGUUCCAACUUUCACAUAGAAAAGAUGCAUUCACACUGCACCUUAACUCGGGGCUAAGAGCCUCGUCAGGCCUGGGCUAUGGGAGAUUUUAGCCCAGGGCUAAGCAAAUAUUCACACCAACCUUAGCCCAGGGCUAAGAGCCUCGUCAGGCCUGGGCUAUGGGAGAUUUUAGCCCAGGCCUAAGCGAAUAUUCACACCAACCUUAGCCCAGGGCUAAGAGCCUCGUCAGGCCUGGGCUAUGGGAGAUUUUAGCCCAGGGCUAAGAGCCUCGUCAGGCCUGGGCUAUGGGAGAUUUUAGAACAACGCAUAGAAUCUUUACUGUCCAAUCACAAAAGCUGCACAUUCACUUAACUUACAUACGCUUGUGAUGCGUUCUGCCGUUUUAAUAAAUACAUUUAUACUAUUUCAUCUAUCAGAGGACGAAAACUAAAAAUAAAUAAAAACAAUACGUUCAUCUAUGCAAAAACAUUUGGUUUCUAUGGCUAAUAAAAAUAAUAAUACAAAUAAAUCAUAAAAUUGGUUGCUCUGCCGGCUGGCUAACUUCUUCUCACUGAGCUAGCCAACCGAAGCCACAAACUCUACAGCUGGAAGGGCAUCAAGCUCUUUCCUCUGUUUUCACAUUAGACAUGUACUUGGAUUAUGGCUAUCCCAUGACAAUAAAAUAUUGUUGCAUGAUUUCGCCUGGAUCAGAAACGUUGAUGUCUCGUCUCUUGCACAGAAUUCUCUGUACAGGGCGCGAGAUCGCAUUUCAAAAGAGAAACAGUUUAUUCCCCCCCAGGCAGGCGGACAGCGAGGUUUAAACAAGUCAUCACUAAAAGCUUGUGUGAACCGUGAAGACAGGAUAAACUGGUCCAGGGUCAGUCUUAGCCUGGGGCUAAGAUCACUGCAGUGUGAAAAAGCUUAUAGCAUUGGAUUCAUUAACAACAAUAGCAUCUGUAAAGAAAAACAUAUAACCAGCAGAAAUGGCAUAUAUAUAUAUAUAUAUAUAUAUAAAUAAACAUCCACAACACUCACCCCUUUGAAGAACAGAGUUAGAAGGUGAAAAUGGGCAUCCCUGACGCCUAAAUUACCAACUAAAGGAAACCGUCCAUAUUUAACCAGUCAAACUGUGCGUCCCAAAUGGGACCCUAUUGGCAUUAUAGGGGAAUAGAGAAUGUGGGAAAAUAAGGAACAGGGUGCCACUAUAUAGGGCAUAGGGUGCCACUAUAUAGGGAAUAGGGUGCCACUAUAUAGGGUACCAUCAUAUAGGGAAUAGGGUGCCACUAUAUAGGGAAUAGGGUGCCACUAUAUAGGGAAUAGGGUGCCACUAUAUAGGGUACCAUCAUAUAGGGGAAUAGGGUGCCACUAUAUAGGGAAUAGGGUGCCACUAUAUAGGGAAUAGGGUGCCAUCAUAUAGGGAAUAGGGUGCCACUAUAUAGGGUACCAUCAUAUAGGGAAUAGGGUGCCACUAUAUAGGGAAUAGGGUGCCACUAUAUAGGGUACCAUCAUAUAGGGAAUAGGGUACCAUCAUAUAGGGAAUAGGGUGCCACUAUAUAGGGAAUAGGGUGCCACUAUAUAGGGAAUAGGGUACCAUCAUAUAGGGAAUAGGGUGCCAUCAUAUAGGGAAUAGGGUGCCAUCAUAUAGGGAAUAGGUGCCACUAUAUAGGGCAUAGGGUGCCACUAUAUAGGGCAUAGGGUACCAUCAUAUAGGGAAUAGGGUGCCACUAUAUAGGGAAUAGGGUGCCAUCAUAUAGGGAAUAGGGUACCAUCAUAUAGGGAAUAGGGUGCCACUAUAUAGGGCAUAGGGUGCCACUAUAUAGGGUACCAUCAUAUAGGGAAUAGGGUGCCACUAUAUAGGGAAUAGGGUGCCACUAUAUAGGGUACCAUCAUAUAGGGAAUAGGGUGCCACUAUAUAGGGAAUAGGGUGCCACUAUAUAGGGCAUAGGGUGCAACUAUAUAGGGCAUAGGGUGCCAUCAUAUAGGGAAUAGGGUGCCACUAUAUAGGGAAUAGGGUGCCACUACAUAGGGUACCAUCAUAUAGGGAAUAGGGUGCCACUAUAUAGGGAAUAGGGUGCCAUCAUAUAGGGAAUAGGGUGCCAUCAUAUAGGGAAUAGGGUGCCACUAUAUAGGGCAUAGGGUGCAACUAUAUAGGGCAUAGCGUGCCAUCAUAUAGGGCGCCAUCAUAUAGGGAAUAGGGUGCCAUCAUAUAGGGAAUAGGGUGCCAUCAUAUAGGGAAUAGGGUGCCAUCAUAUAGGGAAUAGGGUGCCAUCAUAUAGGAAUAGGGUACCACUAUAUAGGGCAUAGGGUGCCAUCAUAUAGGGCAUAGGGUGCCAUCAUAUAGGGCACCACUAUAUAGGGAAUAGGGUGCCAUCAUAUAGGGAAUAGGGUGCCAUCAUAUAGGGCAUAGGGUGCCAUCAUAUAGGGCAUAGGGUACCACUAUAUAGGGCAUAGGGUACCACUAUAUAGAGCAUAGGGUGCUAUCAUAUAGGGCAUAGCAUGCCAUCAUAUAGGGCAUAGCGUGCCAUCAUAUAGGGCAUAGGGUGCCAUCAUAUAGGGCAUAGGGUGCCAUCAUAUAGGGCAUAGGGUGCCAUCAUAUAGGGCAUAGGGUGCCAUCAUAUAGGGCAUAGGGUGCCAUCAUAUAGGGCAUAGGGUACCACCAUAUAGGGCAUAGGGUGCCAUCAUAUAGGGCAUAGGGUGCCAUCAUAUAGGGCAUAGGGUGCCAUCAUAUAGGGCAUAGGGUGCCAUCAUAUAGGGCAUAGGGUGCCACUAUAUAGGGAAUAGGGUGCCACUAUAUAGGGAACAGGGUGCCAUCAUAUAAGGAAUAGGGUGCCAUCAUAUAGGGAACAGGGUGCCAUCAUAUAGGGAACAGGGUGCCAUCAUAUAGGGAAUAGGGUGCCAUCAUAUAGGGAAUAGGGUGCCAUCAUAUAGGGAAUAGGGUGCCAUCAUAUAGGGAAUAGGGUGCCAUCAUAUAGGGAAUAGGGUGCCAUCAUAUAGGGCAUAGGGUGCCACUAUAUAGGGCAUAGGGUACCACUAUAUAGGAACAGGGUGCCAUCAUAUAGGGAAUAGGGUGCCAUCAUAUAGGGAAUAGGGUGCCAUCAUAUAGGAAUAGGGUGCCAUCAUAUAGGGAAUAGGGUGCCAUCAUAUAGGGAAUAGGGUGCCAUCAUAUAGGGAAUAGGGUGCCAUCAUAUAGGGAAUAGGGUGCCAUCAUAUAGGGAAUAGGGUGCCAUUUGAGAUACAACCAAAGGAUUCCAGAGGAACGGAGGUCUAUUCAUUCACACUUUACAUACAAGUGCCAGAAACACAUGGAGUCACCAUGACUCCCAGUCAGUGGUUCCCAGUCAGUGGUUCCCAGUCAGUGGUUCCCAGUCAGAGUACAUAGAAGAAUGUAGAAUCAGUGGGCAGAAAACAACUUGUACUCGGUGUGUUCCUCCACACCUCAAUGUAUGUUUGAUGAUUUUUUAAAGGGUUUUAAAUCAUUUUAAAAUCAUUUUCCUCUCUUACUCUAAAGUGCAUCAAACACCGCUUAUAUUAAAUAAACCUCUUCAAUCUAAAACUUGUGUGAUUAUGACUAUAAAUGUAGGACCUUUGAAACCUGAAUUCUCAGCUUUUGGCUAAAUACUUCUACAAACAGCGAAACCCUUUGCAAUAGCUUUACAUACAUAGAAGGUGACCUUUAUAACAUCAGCUCUCCCACAGAGAGAAGAAGGAUUCAAGCGCUUUAGAUUGACCAAUGACCAAUUGACCAAUGACCAAUGACCAAUGACCAAUGACCAUUGACCAAUGACCAAUGACCAAUGACCAAUGACCAAUGACCAAUGACCAAUGACCAUUGACCAAUGACCAAUGACCAAUGACCAAUGACCAAUGACCAAUGACCAAUGACAAAUGACCAAUGACCAAUGACCAAUGACAAAUGACCAUUGAC